GAUGAACGCUGGCGGCGUGCCUAAUACAUGCAAGUCGAGCGAAUGGAUUAAGAGCUUGCUCUUAUGAAGUUAGCGGCGGACGGGUGAGUAACACGUGGGUAACCUGCCCAUAAGACUGGGAUAACUCCGGGAAACCGGGGCUAAUACCGGAUAACAUUUUGAACCGCAUGGUUCGAAAUUGAAAGGCGGCUUCGGCUGUCACUUAUGGAUGGACCCGCGUCGCAUUAGCUAGUUGGUGAGGUAACGGCUCACCAAGGCAACGAUGCGUAGCCGACCUGAGAGGGUGAUCGGCCAAACGGGGACUGAGACACGGCCCAGACUCCUACGGGAGGUAGCAGUAGGGGAUCUUCCGCAAUGGACGAAAGUCUGACGGAGCAACGCCGCGUGAGUGAUGAAGGCUUUCGGGUCGUAAAACUCUGUUGUUAGGGAAGAACAAGUGCUAGUUGAAUAAGCUGGCACCUUGACGGUACCUAACCAGAAAGCCACGGCUAACUACGUGCCAGCCGCCGCCGUAA
rnacentral:rRNA from 1 species